GCUUAUGCGUUGUUGGGUAGGGGAGCGUUCUGUAAGCCUGUGAAGGUGUGUCGUGAGGCAUGCUGGAGGUAUCAGAAGUGCGAAUGCUGACAUAAGUAACGAUAAAGCGGGUGAAAAGCCCGCUCGCCGGAAGACCAAGGGUUCCUGUCCAACGUUAAUCGGGGCAGGGUGAGUCGACCCCUAAGGCGAGGCCGAAAGGCGUAGUCGAUGGGAAACGGGUUAAUAUUCCCGUACUUGGUGUUACUGCGAAGGGGGGACGGAGAAGGCUAUGUUGGCCGGGCGACGGUUGUCCCGGUUUAAGCGUGUAGGUGUGUGUUCCAGGUAAAUCCGGUUCACUUUAACACUGAGGCGUGAUGACGAGGCACUACGGUGCUGAAGCAACAAAUGCCCUGCUUCCAGGAAAAGCCUCUAAGCAUCAGGUAACAUCAAAUCGUACCCCAAACCGACACAGGUGGUCAGGUAGAGAAUACCAAGGCGCUUGAGAGAACUCGGGUGAAGGAACUAGGCAAAAUGGUGCCGUAACUUCGGGAGAAGGCACGCUGACAC
rnacentral:rRNA from 1 species